UAACCAUGGCAAGAUGUCUCGAUGUCUCGUUAGUGUUUUUUUUAAAUAGUGUUACGCUUUAUUACGAGAUUUCCAUCGAAUAUGAGGCUACAGGCUCGGAAAGGUCAGUGGGAGCAAAGGAGACAUAGAAGUGGAAGAAGAAUGCUAAAGAUUUCACUCUUAAAUGCUCCUUUUUAAAUGCAAGUCGAAAGUUCAUUCACCCGUACCCAGACCUCUUCCUUAACCGUCGAGUGUAAGCUCGUUCGCCCGAAUAUGAGUCACACGAACCUUUCAAGUACGGUACGGGAGCUGUUUAUCCCCAAGUCGGCCAAAGAUCAUAAGUACCCGUAGCGCAGCACAAGAUUCCAGAUGUACACACCAGGGAUGGAUUGCGAUUGCCGAAGAUUUCCAGGAGUUGUGGCAAUUUCCGAAUUGUUUAGGAGCUGUCGACGGAAAACAAGUUGC